rnacentral:siRNA from 1 species
GUUGAUUUAAGGUGAUUUGGAGCU